CGUAUACAUUUACCACAGUGAUGUGGUAUUAUUGUUCAGAGUGAGCGUGGUCAGUGGUGGUGUGCGGUUUGAGGAGGUGGAGGUGAAGCCCCUUCUGGAGUGAGUCAUGUCUCUUUCUGCGGAUGGGAGGAACACCUGGGUGCUGGGUGCCUCCCCGAGCACGGCUAAGGAGCAAGGCGAGAAGAACAGUCAGGACCUGCUGGAGGCCCUUUAUAGCCCUGCUGGAGGUAUAGCAGCAGCUCUCAGGUCUGUGGGAUCCCGCAAGAUCUGGAGCGGUGGCCCGGAUGUCCUCUCGCCUAGGCAGGACAAGGACGGCGAGACUUCCUUGCCCCUCGAAAGAGUCUUAGGAGAACAAGGGUGCGAGGUCGAGAUGAAGGAGACGAUUGAAAUGACGAGUGCAUCAAAGUACAUUCACGCUUCCCCUCUGUACCAGGACUACUGGUCGGAGUGUAUGAGAACAGAGAUGAACAGGAUUCGGGGCAGCAGCCUCUCGGGUCUGGUGGCCUCCAUGCGCUUGCCUGGACUGCUGAUGCCGCCCAGCCCCAGCGCAGGGAUCGCCUCUGCUCCUCGACGGUUUCAUGAAGGGACCUGCCUGUUGUGGCAGGAUUUGCCUGAAGUUCGGGAGAAUGGCCUCCUGGAGACACUAGGCCCCCGAGAGAGACAGCUGCAGGAGGCUACAUUUGAACUGAUUAGUUCUGAGGCCUCCUACCUGAAGAGCUUGACAUUGGCGGUAACCCACUUCCAGGAAUCUCGGGCUCUGCGGCUGACACUGCCCAUGGUGGAGCACCAUAUCCUCUUCUCCAACCUAGUGGAAGUCAAGGGGAUCAGUGAGCGGUUUCUGUUGGACCUGGAAGCUCGCCUUGAGGAGAGUGUGGUGAUGCGACAGGUUGGAGAUGUAGUCCUGCAACAUCGCGCUGCUCUGCGUAGAGUCUACGUGCCCUACAUUACCAAUAUGAUGUACCAAGAAACCCUCAUCCAGCGCCUGAUGCAGCAGAACCGAGGGUUCCUUCACGUUCUGAAAAAGCUGGAGAAGGCUCCUGUGUGCCAGAGGCAGAGCCUCAAGUCCUUCCUAGUGCUCCCCUUCCAGAGAGUCGCACGGCUGCGCAUAAUUUUGGAGAACAUUUUGAAACUGACCUCACCAGACUUGGAUCCUGUCCCACUGAAGGAAGCCAUAACAGCUAUACAUCAGAUCUUGACUGAGUGUGACGAAAGCGUACAGCGCAUGAAGCAGACUGAAAAACUGGUGCAUCUAGAGAAGCUGGUUGACUUCAAAAGGGUCAAGUCUAUUCCCCUGAUCACCCGGGGACGCACUCUGCUUUAUGAAGGCUUCCUACACCAAGUAAAAGUGAAGAAGUCCACCACAUGGGGCUCCUUUUCUUCAUUCUGCCAGGUUUACCUGCACCUCUUCAAUGACCUGUUACUGCUGUCGCUCAGAGAGGAGGAGCGUUUCCACGUGUUGGACUAUGCUACGUUUCCUGCUUGUGUCCGUGUGGAGCAACUGACAGCUGAAGCCCUAGGGUUGUCGCACAAGUCCUUUCUGUUGCACCUCACUCGCAACCAUGCCGGCAUUACUGCCGCCUACAUCCUCGCUGCAAAAACCAGGUAACGCCUGGGCCCCACUUUGUCCUGAAGCAUAUUAUUAGGUAGGUAGGUUCCUAACGCUUUCUGUAAAGCCAGCCAUGGGUUCAUCCUCUAGACUUGGAACUUGACUAAAAAUGUAUGUACAAAUAUUCAUUCUGUAUUCCCUUAAUGAUAAAGGUGAUAAAACUACACCAAAAAAAUACUGCUUAGGUAUUACUGUACUAAAAGCUUGUUGGGUGUCCAAAAACGUGUGUGUGUGUGUGUGUGUGUGUGUGUGUGUGUGUGUGUGUUUGU